rnacentral:rRNA from 1 species
UAGGGAAUCUUCGGCAAUGGGGGCAACCCUGACCGAGCAACGCCGCGUGAGUGAAGAAGGUUUUCGGAUCGUAAAGCUCUGUUGUAAGAGAAGAACGUGUGUGAGAGUGGAAAGUUCACACAGUGACGGUAACUUACCAGAAAGGGACGGCUAACUACGUUCCAGCAGCCGCGGUAAUACGUAGGUCCCGAGCGUUGUCCGGAUUUAUUGGGCGUAAAGCGAGCGCAGGCGGUUUAAUAAGUCUGAAGUUAAAGGCAGUGGCUUAACCAUUGUUCGCUUUGGAAACUGUUAAACUUGAGUGCAGAAGGGGAGAGUGGAAUUCCAGGUGUAGCGGUGAAAUGCGUAGAUAUAUGGAGGAACACCGGUGGCGAAAGCGGCUCUCUGGUCUGUGACUGACGCUGAGGCUCGAAAGCGUGGGGAGCAAACAGG